rnacentral:rRNA from 1 species
GAUGAACGCUGGCGGCGUGCCUAAUACAUGCAAGUCGAGCGAACAGACGAGGAGCUUGCUCCUCUGACGUUAGAGGCGGACGGGUGAGUAACACGUGGAUAACCUACCUAUAAGACUGGGAUAACUUCGGGAAACCGGAGCUAAUACCGGAUAAUAUAUUGAACCGCAUGGUUCAAUAGUGAAAGACGGUUUUGCUGUCACGUAUAGAUGGACCCGCGCCGCAUUAGCUAGUUGGUAAGGUAACGGCUUACCAAGGCAACGAUGCGUAGCCGACCUGAGAGGGUGAUCGGCCACACUGGAACUGAGACACGGUCCAGACCCCUACGGGAGGCAGCAGUAGGGAAUCUUCCGCAAUGGGCGAAAGCCUGACGGAGCAACGCCGCGUGAGUGAUGAAGGUCUCGGAUCGUAAAACUCUGUUAUUAGGGAAGAACAAAUGUGUAAGUAACUAUGCACGUCUUGACGGUACCUAAUCAGAAAGCCACGGCUAACUACGUG